AUGAACGCUGGCGGCGUGCCUAAUCCAUGCAAGUCGAGCCAACAGAUGAGGAGCUUGCUCCUCUGACGUUAGCGGCGGACGGGUGAGUAACACGUGGAUAACCUACCUAUAAGACUGGGAUAACUUCGGGAAACCGGAGCUAAUACCGGAUAAUAUAUUGAACCGCAUGGUUCAAUAGUGAAAGACGGUUUUGCUGUCACUUAUAGAUGGAUCCGCGCCGCAUUAGCUAGUUGGUAAGGUAACGGCUUACCAAGGCAACGAUGCGUAGCCGACCUGAGAGGGUGAUCGGCCACACUGGAACUGAGACACGGUCCAGACUCCUACGGGAGGCAGCAGUAGGGAAUCUUCCGCAAUGGGCGAAAGCUUGACGGAGCAACGCCGCGUGAGUGAUGAAGGUCUUCGGAUCGUAAAACUCUGUUAUUAGGGAAGAACAAAUGUGUAAGUAACUAUGCACGUCUUGACGGUACCUAAUCAGAAAGCCACGGCUAACUACGUG
rnacentral:rRNA from 1 species